rnacentral:rRNA from 1 species
ACGAACGCUGGCGGCGUGCUUAACACAUGCAAGUCGAACGGUAAGGCCUUUCGGGGUCAUACGAGUGGCGAACGGGUGAGUAACACGUGAGCAACCUGCCCUUGACUUCGGAAUACCAGCUGGAAACAGCUGCUAAUACCGGAUAUGACCCUGGUCCUCCUGGACUGGGGUGGAAAGCUCCGGCGGUCAGGGAUGGGCUCGCGGCCUAUCAGCUUGUUGGUGAGGUAAUGGCUCACCAAGGCUUCGACGGGUAGCCG